rnacentral:rRNA from 1 species
GAGUUUGAUCGUGGCUCAGGACGAACGCUGGCGGCGUGCUUAACACAUGCAAGUCGAACGGUGAACCGGGCUUCGGCCCGGGGAUCAGUGGCGAACGGGUGCGUAACACGUGGGCAACCUGCCCCAGACACUGGGAUAACUCCGGGAAACCGGGGCUAAUACCGGAUACUCCGGUCGAACCGCAUGGCUCGAUCGGGAAAGCUCCGACGGUCUGGGAUGGGCCCGCGGCCUAUCAGCUUGUUGGUGGGGUAACGGCCUACCAAGGCGACGACGGGUAGCUGGUCUGAGAGGACGACCAGCCACACUGGAACUGAGAUACGGUCCAGACUCCUACGGGAGGCAGCAGUGGGGAAUCUUGCACAAUGGGCGCAAGCCUGAUGCAGCGACGCCGCGUGGGGGAUGAAGGCCCUCGGGUUGUAAACCCCUUUCGGCAGGGAAGAAGCGCAAGUGACGGUACCUGCAGAAGAAGUCCCGGCUAACUACGUGCCAGCCGCCGCGGU